rnacentral:rRNA from 1 species
UGCCAGCAGCCGCGGUAAUACGUAGGUGGCAAGCGUUGUCCGGAUUUACUGGGCGUAAAGGGUGCGUAGGCGGAUAUUUAAGUCAGAUGUGAAAUCCCCGGGCUCAACCUGGGAGCUGCAUUUGAAACUGGAUAUCUAGAGUGCAGGAGAGGAAAGUGGAAUUCCUAGUGUAGCGGUGAAAUGCGUAGAGAUUAGGAAGAACACCAGUGGCGAAGGCGACUUUCUGGACUGUAACUGACGCUGAGGCACGAAAGCGUGGGGAGCGAACAGGAUUAGAUA